CCUACGGGUGGCUGCAGUGAGGAAUAUUGCGCAAUGGGCGAAAGCCUGACGCAGCGACGCCGCGUGGGUGACGAAGGCCUUCGGGUCGUAAAGCCCUUUUCUGCGUGACGAGAGAGGACGGUAGCGCAGGAACAAGUCUCGGCUAACUACGUGCCAGCAGCCGCGGUAAAACGUAGGAGGCGAGCGUUAUCCGGAGUUACUGGGCGUAAAGAGCGUGUAGGCGGGUGUGCAAGUUUGGCGUGAAAGCUCCCGGCUAAACUGGGAGAGUGCGCUGA
rnacentral:rRNA from 1 species